CCCUUAGACAAUAUCGAAAGUGAAAAAAAACUUUUCCUGCGCUCCCUGAUCCGCCAUUUCAUCGGAGCCUAAGCCAAGGAACAGACGGAUCGGCCAGACGCUUCCAAGUGUCGGAGUGACAAAGAGGAGUAGAACGAGGAAAUGUUAGGUCCAGCUUCUGUGGCAGGGGCAGCAUCAUAUCUGGGAAUCAAAAUGACUGUGGAUCAAGCUGGCUUGGGACUCAUUGGACUGGCAGUUGGUAACCACGCCAUAUUCACUUUGGGGAUCAUCGUUGUCUCAUUCGCAGUCAUAGCCUUGGCUGGAUAUUUGAUCUAUCACCACUAUAAUAACAAAAAAUCCAAGACUGAUUGUCCAAAGUGCUCCUGAGAAUAUGAACUGACUACACAUCUCAGGUAUCCAUCCUCUCAGCAAGUAUGGACCUUGCUGUCUUGGCAGGCCUCACUGAUGGUGAAGCCUGCAGCUCCCUGGAACCUGGGACCUUACUAGGAGGCAAAUAAAGAACUCCAUCUCUGAC